AAGAUAUGUAGCUAACCUUUGAAUGAUGUAACACCAAAAAAAAAAGUAGUUUUAUUUUGUGAAUGUGGUACGUGUGUCAAUCUCCAUACUGCAGACAAACUUGGUAUUAUAUAUACAGUAACAAAAAAAAAAAAGGUUUUAUAAAACUAACAACUACGUCUCGCGAGACCGAUCGGUCUCGAUCGUUACUGAAAACUUAUGAAACUUUUAGUUCUUUUUUUUUUUUUGUGUGAGUAAUUAAAUAAUGGCAGUAUAAAGUUCCAAAAAGUGUAGAAAAAUAUUAAAGCAGUACUAGCAAGUAGGGUAAGAGAAAAUCCUAAGAAAUCGUGGGGGGAAGAAUAGGUGAAAUGGACAUACGAACUGUCAUAUUAUGAUGAUUUCUGUAUUAUAUGUAUACUUACAAUUUGCACGUGUUCCUUGGUUUUUUCCCCGUCA
rnacentral:lncRNA from 1 species